GACGAACGCUGGCGGCGUGCCUAAUACAUGCAAGUAGAACGCUGAAGGAGGAGCUUGCUCUUCUGGACGAGUUGCGAACGGGUGAGUAACGCGUAGGUAACCUGCCUGGUAGCGGGGGAUAACUAUUGGAAACGAUAGCUAAUACCGCAUAACAGUAGAUGUUGCAUGACAUUUGCUUAAAAGGUGCAAUUGCACCACUACCAGAUGGACCUGCGUUGUAUUAGCUAGUUGGUGGGGUAACGGCUCACCAAGGCGACGAUACAUAGCCGACCUGAGAGGGUGAUCGGACACACUGGGACUGAGACACGGCCCAGACUCCUACGGGAGGCAGCAGUAGGGAAUCUUCGGCAAUGGACGGAAGUCUGACCGAGCAACGCCGCGUGAGUGAAGAAGGUUUUCGGAUCGUAAAGCUCUGUUGUAAGAGAAGAACGAGUGUGAGAGUGGAAAGUUCACACUGUGACGGUAUCUUACCAGAAAGGGACGGCUAACUACGUG
rnacentral:rRNA from 1 species